rnacentral:rRNA from 1 species
GAUUAGUGGCGAACGGGUGAGUAACACGUGGGCAAUCUGCCCUUCACUCUGGGACAAGCCCUGGAAACGGGGUCUAAUACCGGAUACCACUCCUGCCUGCAUGGGCGGGGGUUGAAAGCUCCGGCGGUGAAGGAUGAGCCCGCGGCCUAUCAGCUUGUUGGUGGGGUAAUGGCCCACCAAGGCGACGACGGGUAGCCGGCCUGAGAGGGCGACCGGCCACACUGGGACUGAGACACGGCCCAGACUCCUACGGGAGGCAGCAGUGGGGAAUAUUGCACAAUGGGCGAAAGCCUGAUGCAGCGACGCCGCGUGAGGGAUGACGGCCUUCGGGUUGUAAACCUCUUUCAGCAGGGAAGAAGCGAAAGUGACGGUACCUGCAGAAGAAGCGCCGGCUAACUACGUGCCAGCAGCCGCGGUAAUACGUAGGGCGCAAGCGUUGUCCGGAAUUAUUGGGCGUAAAGAGCUCGUAGGCGGCUUGUCACGUCGGAUGUGAAAGCCCGAGGCUUAACCUCGGGUCUGCAUUCGAUACGGGCUAGCUAGAGUGUGGUAGGGGAGAUCGGAAUUCCUGGUGUAGCGGUGAAAUGCGCAGAUAUCAGGAGGAACACCGGUGGCGAAGGCGGAUCUCUGGGCCAUUACUGACGCUGAGGAGCGAAAGCGUGGGGAGCGAACAGGAUUAGAUACCCUGGUAGUCCACGCCGUAAACGUUGGGAACUAGGUGUUGG